rnacentral:rRNA from 1 species
AAUGGUGCAACGACUUGGAUACUGUCUCAACGAGAGACCCGGUGAAAUUAUAGUACCUGUGAAGAUGCAGGUUACCCGCGACAGGACGGAAAGACCCCAUGGAGCUUUACUGUAGCUUGAUAGUGAGUGUUGGUAUCAUCUGUACAGGAUAGGUAGGAGCCUUGGAAACCGGAGCGCUAGCUUCGGUGGAGGCGUCGGUGGGAUACUACCCUGAUGGUGCUGGCAUUCUAACCUCGACCCGUGAUCCGGGCCAGGGACAUU